CUGCGGCAGCGAACGUAUCACUUAAAGCGAUUCAGCGGGUUACGAUUGACGGAGCGAAGCGACGUCAAAGCGUAUACAAAGUCGAGUCGGUUUAAGGAUACGUUCGUUGGGUAGGGGAGCGUUCUGUAAGCCUGUGAAGGUGUGUCGUGAGGCAUGCUGGAGGUAUCAGAAGUGCGAAUGCUGACAUAAGUAACGAUAAAGCGGGUGAAAAGCCCGCUCGCCGGAAGACCAAGGGUUCCUGUCCAACGUUAAUCGGGGCAGGGUGAGUCGACCCCUAAGGCGAGGCCGAAAGGCGUAGUCGAUGGGAAACGGGUUAAUAUUCCCGUACUUGGUGUUACUGCGAAGGGGGGACGGAGAAGGCUAUGUUGGCCGGGCGACGGUUGUCCCGGUUUAAGCGUGUAGGUGUGUGUUCCAGGUAAAUCCGGUUCACUUUAACACUGAGGCGUGACGACGAGGCACUACGGUGCUGAAGCAACAAAUGCCCUGCUUCCAGGAAAAGCCUCUAAGCAUCAGGUAACAUCAAAUCGUACCCCAAACCGACACAGGUGGUCAGGUAGAGAAUACCAAGGCGCUUGAGAGAACUCGGGUGAAGGAACUAGGCAAAAUGGUGCCGUAACUUCGGGAGAAGGCACGCUGACACGUAGGUGAAGUGAUUUACUCAUGGAGCUGAAGUCAGUCGAAGAUACCAGCUGGCUGCAACUGUUUAUUAAAAACACAGCACUGUGCAAACACGAAAGUGGACGUAUACGGUGUGACGCCUGCCCGGUGCCGGAAGGUUAAUUGAUGGGGUCAGCGCAAGCGAAGCUCCUGAUCGAAGCCCCGGUAAACGGCGGCCGUAACUAUAACGGUCCUAAGGUAGCGAAAUUCCUUGUCGGGUAAGUUCCGACCUGCACGAAUGGCGUAAUGAUGGCCAGGCUGUCUCCACCCGAGACUCAGUGAAAUUGAACUCGCUGUGAAGAUGCAGUGUACCCGCGGCAAGACGGAAAGACCCCGUGAACCUUUACUAUAGCUUGACACUGAACAUUGAGCCUUGAUGUGUAGGAUAGGUGGGAGGCUUUGAAGUGUGGACGCCAGUCUGCAUGGAGCCGACCUUGAAAUACCACCCUUUAAUGUUUGAUGUUCUAACGUGGACCCGUGAUCCGGGUUGCGGACAGUGUCUGGUGGGUAGUUUGACUGGGGCGGUCUCCUCCUAAAGAGUAACGGAGGAGCACGAAGGUUGGCUAAUCCUGGUCGGACAUCAGGAGGUUAGUGCAAUGGCAUAAGCCAGCUUGACUGCGAGCGUGACGGCGCGAGCAGGUGCGAAAGCAGGUCAUAGUGAUCCGGUGGUUCUGAAUGGAAGGGCCAUCGCUCAACGGAUAAAAGGUACUCCGGGGAUAACAGGCUGAUACCGCCCAAGAGUUCAUAUCGACGGCGGUGUUUGGCACCUCGAUGUCGGCUCAUCACAUCCUGGGGCUGAAGUAGGUCCCAAGGGUAUGGCUGUUCGCCAUUUAAAGUGGUACGCGAGCUGGGUUUAGAACGUCGUGAGACAGUUCGGUCCCUAUCUGCCGUGGGCGCUGGAGAACUGAGGGGGGCUGCUCCUAGUACGAGAGGACCGGAGUGGACGCAUCACUGGUGUUCGGGUUGUCAUGCCAAUGGCACUGCCCGGUAGCUAAAUGCGGAAGAGAUAAGUGCUGAAAGCAUCUAAGCACGAAACUUGCCCCGAGAUGAGUUCUCCCUGAGACUUAAAGUCUCCUGAAGGAACGUUGAAGACGACGACGUUGAUAGGCCGGGUGUGUAAGCGCAGCGAUGCGUUGAGCUAACCGGUACUAAUGAACCGUGAGGCUUAACCUUACA
rnacentral:rRNA from 2 species